AUUGAUUUUAUGCUUGCAUAAAUGAUUUUUGGAUUCGGAGCGAGUGGCGAACUGGUGAGUAACACGUGGGUAACCUGCCCCGAAGCGGGGGAUAACAUUUGGAAACAAGUGCUAAUACCGCAUAAUUAGUUGGAACCGCAUGGUUCCAACUUGAAAGAUGGCUCUGCUAUCACUUUGGGAUGGACCCGCGCCGUAUUAGUUAGUUGGUGAGAUAAAAGCCCACCAAGACGAUGAUACGUAGCCGACCUGAGAGGGUAAUCGGCCACAUUGGGACUGAGACACGGCCCAGACUCCUACGGGAGGCAGCAGUAGGGAAUCUUCCACAAUGGACGAAAGUCUGAUGGAGCAACGCCGCGUGAGUGAUGAAGGUUUUCGGAUCGUAAAACUCUGUUGUUAAAGAAGAACAAGUGUUAGAGUAACUGUUAACACUUUGACGGUAUUUAACCAGAAAGCCACGGCUAACUACGUGCCAGCAGCCGCGGUAAUACGUAGGUGGCAAGCGUUGUCCGGAUUUAUUGGGCGUAAAGCGAGCGCAGGCGGUUUUGUAAGUCUGCUGUGAAAGCCCUCAGCUCAACUGAGGAAGUGCAGUGGAAACUACAAAACUUGAGUACAGAAGAGGAAAGUGGAACUCCAUGUGUAGCGGUGAAAUGCGUAGAUAUAUGGAAGAACACCAGUGGCGAAGGCGGUUUUCUGGUCUGUUACUGACGCUGAGGCUCGAAAGCAUGGGUAGCGAACAGGAUUAGAUACCCUGGUAGUCCAUGCCGUAAACGAUGAAUACUAGGUGUUGGAGGGUUUCCGCCCUUCAGUGCCGCAGCUAACGCAUUAAGUAUUCCGCCUGGGGAGUACGACCGCAAGGUUGAAACUCAAAGGAAUUGACGGGGGCCCGCACAAGUGGUGGAGCAUGUGGUUUAAUUCGAUGCUACGCGAAGAACCUUACCAGCUCUUGACAUCUUCUGCCAACCCAAGAGAUUGGGCGUUCCCUUCGGGGACAGAAUGACAGGUGGUGCAUGGUUGUCGUCAGCUCGUGUCGUGAGAAGUUGGGUUAAGUCCCGCAACGAGCGCAACCCUUAUUAUUAGUUGCCAGCAUUUAGUUGGGCACUCUAGUGAGACUGCCGGUGAUAAA
rnacentral:rRNA from 1 species